rnacentral:rRNA from 1 species
UAGGCUGCAACUCGCCUACACGAAGUUGGAAUUGCUAGUAAUCGUGGAUCAGCAUGCCACGGUGAAUACGUUCCCGGGUCUUGUACACACCGCCCGUCACACCAUGGGAGCUGGUAACACCCGAAGUCAGUAGUCUAACCGCAAGGAGGACGCUGCCGGAGGUGGGAUUAGCGACUGGGGUGAAGUCGUAACAAGGUACC